CCUACGGGCGGCAGCAGUGGGGAAUAUUGCACAAUGGGGGGAACCCUGAUGCAGCAACGCCGCGUGAGGGAAGAAGUAUUUCGGUAUGUAAAGCUCUAUCAGCAGGGAAGAAGAUGACGGUACCUGAGUACGAAGCCCCGGCUAACUCCGUGCCAGCAGCCGCGGGAAUACGUAGGGGGCAAGCGUUAUCCGGAUUUACUGGGUGUAAAGGGAGCGUAGACGGUGAGACAAGUCUGAAGUGAAAGCCCCGGGCUCAACCCCGGGACUGCUUUGGAAACUGCCUGACUGGAGUGCUGGAGAGGUAAGCGGAAUUCCUGGUGUAGCGGUGAAAUGCGUAGAUAUUAGGAAGAACACCAGUGGCGAAGGCGGCUUGCUGGACAGUAACUGACGUUGAGGCUCGAAAGCGUGGGGAGCAAACAGGAUUAGAUACCCUAGUAGUC
rnacentral:rRNA from 1 species